UUUAAGGUUUAACCUGCCCUAUGAGGAAUUAAAUGGCCGCGGUAUUUUGACCGUGCAAAGGUAGCAUAAUAAUUAGUUUUUUAAUUGGAAGCUAGAAUGAAUGGUUGGACGAGAAGAUUUCUGUCUCAAUUUAAUUUAUUAUGAAUUUUAUUUUUGAGUAAAAAAGCUCAAAUUUUUUUAAAAGACGAGAAGACCCUAUAGAGUUUUAUAAUUUUUGUAUUAAGAAUUUUUUAGGUUUUUUUAGUUUUUAUUAUAGGAUUUAUUUUGUUGGGGUGAUGGAAAAAUUUGAUUAACUUUUUUUUUACUUUUAUCAUUGAUUUAUGUUUAUUUGAUCCAAUUUUUUUUUGAUUAUAAGAUUAAAUUACCUUAGGGAUAACAGCGUAAUUUUUUUUUAGAGUUCUUAUCGAAAGAAAAGUUUGCGACCUCGAUGUUGGAUUAAAAUUAAUGCUUGGUGCAGGAGCUAGGUGGUUGGGUCUGUUCGACCUUUAAAAUUUUACA
rnacentral:rRNA from 1 species